GACGAACGCUGGCGGCGUGCCUAAUACAUGCAAGUAGGACGCAGUUGCGAACGGGUGAGUAACGCGUCGGUAACUGCCUAUUAGAGGGGGAUAACUAUUUGAAACGAUAGCUAAUACCGCAUACUAGUAGAUGGACCUGCGUUGGAUUAGCUAGUAGGUAGGGUAAUGGCCUACCGAGGAGACGAUACAUAGCCGACCUGUGAGGGGGAGUGGCCAAACUGGGACGUAUACACGGCCCAGACUCCUAAGGGAGGCAGCAGUAGGGAAUCUUCGGCAAUGGGGGGAACCCUGACCGAGCAACGCCGCGUGAGUGAAGAAGGUUUUCGGAUCGUAAAGCUCUGUUGUUAAGGAAGCGGUACUUAACCAGAAAGGGACGGCUAACUACGUGCCAGCCGCCGCGGUAAUAC
rnacentral:rRNA from 1 species